GUGGGGAAUAUUGGACAAUGGGCGCAAGCCUGAUCCAGCCAUGCCGCGUGAGUGAUGAAGGCCUUAGGGUUGUAAAGCUCUUUCAGUGGGGACGAUAAUGACGGUACCCACAGAAGAAGCCCCGGCUAACUUCGUGCCAGCAGCCGCGGUAAUACGAAGGGGGCUAGCGUUGUUCGGAUUUACUGGGCGUAAAGCGCACGUAGGCGGAUCGUUAAGUCGGGGGUGAAAGCCUGGAGCUCAACUCCAGAACUGCCUUCGAUACUGGCGAUCUUGAGUCCGGAAGAGGUGGGUGGAACGCCGAGUGUAGAGGUGGGAUUCGUAGAUAUUAGGAAGAACACCAGUGGCGAAGGCGGCUCACUGGUCCGGUACUGACGCUGAGGUGCGAAAGCGUGGGGAGCAAACAGGAUUAGAUACCCGAGUAGUCC
rnacentral:rRNA from 1 species